UUUCCAGAGAUGGAUUGGUGCCUUCGGGAACUCAGACACAGGUGCUGCAUUGCUGUCGUCAGCUCGUGUCGUGAGAUGUUGGGUUAAGUCCCGUAACGAGCGCAACCCUUGUCCUUAGUUACCAGCACCUCGGGUGGGCACUCUAAGGAGACUGCCGGUGACAAACCGGAGGAAGGUGUGGAUGACGUCAAGUCAUCAUGGCCCUUACGGCCAGGGCUACACACGUGCUACAAUGGUCGGUACAAAGGGUUGCCAAGCCGCGAGGUGGAGCUAAUCCCAUAAAAC
rnacentral:rRNA from 1 species